UACAGGGGGUGCAAACGUUGCUCGGAAUUAUUGGGCGUAAAGCGCGCGUAGGCGGCUACUUAAGUCGGAUGUGAAAGCCCUUGGCUCAACUGAGGAAGUGCACCCGAAACUGAGUGGCUAGAGUACGAAAGAGGGUCGCGGAAUUCCCGGUGUAGAGGUGAAAUUCGUAGAUAUCGGGAGGAACACCGGUGGCGAAGGCGGCGACCUGGGUCGAUACUGACGCUGAGGAGCGAAAGCAUGGGUAGCGAACAGG
rnacentral:rRNA from 1 species